CCCGUAUCCAAACAUGCAUUAUUUGACACACCAAAGAGAACUGGAACACACUAGAAAUCUUUCAUUUGCACAAACCGAGCUACCAAACAAACUCCAAGGGAACAAAAGGAACUGCUGCAAGAAUGCAUCUAUACAUGCAUUAUUCAACAUAGCAUUUCAAAACAAAAGGAAGCGCCUCUUGUCUUGCUUCUUAUCCUGGUUGAUCUUGAUGGGCUUCUUGACCUUCUUCGUGUCCAAGAAAUUGGUCCACCAUAUAGCAGAGCUUUUUGGGAACCUUUUCAGUUGAUUGUUCUCAAAAUCUACAUGAAUAAUGCCAAACCUAAUGGUGUAUCCAUCGGCCCAUUCAAAAUUAUCGAACAUUGACCAUAAGUAAUAAGACCUCACACGAACACCUUG
rnacentral:lncRNA from 1 species